UACGUAGGGGGCAAGCGUUGUCCGGAUUUAUUGGGCGUAAAGAGCGUGUAGGCGGCCAGGUAGGUCAGCUGUGAAAACUCGAGGCUCAACCUCGAGACGCCGGCGGAAACCAUCUAGCUAGAGUCCGGAAGAGGAGAGUGGAAUUCCUGGUGUGAGCGGUGAAAUGACGCAGAUAUCAGGAGGAACACCGAUGGCGAAGGCAGGUCUCUGGGCCACUACUGACGCUGAGAAGCGAAAGCAUGGGGAGCGAACAGG
rnacentral:rRNA from 1 species